rnacentral:rRNA from 1 species
GAAGCCAUGCAUGCCCGCUCACCCGGGACGCGGCGGACGGCUCAGGACAACGGUUGCACCCCCCGCGGCGGUCCCUGCUAGCCGGACACCGCUGGCAACCCGGCGCCAAGACGUGCGCGCAAGGGCGGGCGCCCGCGGGC